rfam:Camelus ferus unplaced genomic scaffold scaffold820, whole genome shotgun sequence.
GAGGGUAUAGCUCAGUGGUAGAGCACAUGCUUAGCAUGCAUGAGGUCCUGGGUUCAAUCCCCAGCACCUCCA